rnacentral:rRNA from 1 species
AGAGUUUGAUCAUGGCUCAGAUUGAACGCUGGCGGCAGGCCUAACACAUGCAAGUCGAGCGGGGGUAGCAAUACCCUAGCGGCGAACGGGUGAGGAAUGCUUGGGAAUCUGCCUCGUAGUGGGGGAUAACGUUCCGAAAGGAACGCUAAUACCGCAUACGUCCUACGGGAGAAAGGGGGGGAUCUUCGGACCUCUCGCUAUGAGAUGAGCCCAAGCGGGAUUAGCUAGUUGGUGAGGUAAAGGCUCACCAAGGCUACGAUCCCUAGCUGGUCUGAGAGGAUGAUCAGCCACACUGGAACUGAGACACGGUCCAGACUCCUACGGGAGGCAGCAGUGGGGAAUAUUGGACAAUGGGCGAAAGCCUGAUCCAGCCAUGCCGCGUGUGUGAAGAAGGCCUUCGGGUUGUAAAGCACUUUAAGCGAGGAGGAAGGUUCGUUACUUAAUACGUAACGGAAUUGACGUUACUCGCAGAAUAAGCACCGGCUAACUCUGUGCCAGCAGCCGCGGUAAUACAGAGGGUGCAAGCGUUAAUCGGAAUUACUGGGCGUAAAGCGCGCGUAGGCGGUUGUGUAAGUUGGAGGUGAAAUCCCCGGGCUCAACCUGGGCAUUGCCUUCAAAACUGCACGGCUAGAGUAUGGGAGAGGAAGGUAGAAUUCCAGGUGUAGCGGUGAAAUGCGUAGAGAUCUGGAGGAAUACCGAU